rnacentral:rRNA from 1 species
CCUACGGGCGGCUGCAGUGGGGAAUAUUGGACAAUGGGGGGAACCCUGAUCCAGCCAUGCCGCGUGUGUGAAGAAGGCCCUCGGGUUGUAAAGCACUUUCAGUGAGGAAGAACGCCUGGUGGUUAAUACCCAUCAGGAAAGACAUCACUCACAGAAGAAGCACCGGCUAACUCCGUGCCAGCAGCCGCGGUAAUACGGAGGGUGCGAGCGUUAAUCGGAAUUACUGGGCGUAAAGCGCGCGUAGGUGGCUUGAUAAGCCGGUUGUGAAUGCCCCGGGCUCAACCUGGGAACGGCAUCCGGAACUGUCAAGCUAGAGUGCAGGAGAGGAAGGUAGAAUUCCCGGUGUAGCGGUGAAAUGGGUAGAGAUCGGGAGGAAUACCAGUGGCGAAGGCGGCCUUCUGGACUGACACUGACACUGAGGUGCGAAAGCGUGGGUAGCAAACAGGAUUAGAUACCCCAGUAGUC